UCCCUGGUGGUCCAAUGGCUAAGACUCCACACUCCCAGUGCUGGGGGCCUGGGUUUGAUUCCUGGUCAGGGAA
rnacentral:tRNA from 1 species